rnacentral:rRNA from 1 species
UACGCAGGGGGCGAGCGUUGUUCGGAUUUACUGGGCGUAAAGGGCGCGCAGGCGGUCUUGUACGUCAGGCGUGAAAGCCCCGGGCUUAACCUGGGAAUUGCGCUUGAUACUCUGAGACUGGAGUACGGGAGAGGAGAGUGGAAUUCCCAGUGUAGAGGUGAAAUUCGUAGAUAUUGGGAAGAACACCAGUGGCGAAGGCGGCUCGCUGGACCGUAACUGACGCUGAGGCGCGAAAGCGUGGGGAGCAAACAGG